rnacentral:rRNA from 1 species
GACGAACGCUGGCGGCGUGCCUAAUACAUGCAAGUCGAACGCUUUUUCUUUCACCGGAGCUUGCUCCACCGAAAGAAAAAGAGUGGCGAACGGGUGAGUAACACGUGGGUAACCUGCCCAUCAGAAGGGGAUAACACUUGGAAACAGGUGCUAAUACCGUAUAACACUAUUUUCCGCAUGGAAGAAAGUUGAAAGGCGCUUUUGCGUCACUGAUGGAUGGACCCGCGGUGCAUUAGCUAGUUGGUGAGGUAACGGCUCACCAAGGCAACGAUGCAUAGCCGACCUGAGAGGGUGAUCGGCCACACUGGGACUGAGACACGGCCCAGACUCCUACGGGAGGCAGCAGUAGGGAAUCUUCGGCAAUGGACGAAAGUCUGACCGAGCAACGCCGCGUGAGUGAAGAAGGUUUUCGGAUCGUAAAAACUCUGUUGUUAGAGAAGAAACAAGGAUGAGAAGUAAAAC